UGGGGAAUCUUGCGCAAUGGGCGGAAGCCUGACGCAGCAACGCCGCGUGAGGGAUGACGGCCUUCGGGUUGUAAACCUCUUUCAGCGAUCGUACGAAGGCAUCGAUCUUGUUGGCGGGUUGACGGUAGGUCGAGAAGAAGCACCGGCCAACUACGUGCCAGCAGCCGCGGUAAUACGUAGGGUGCGAGCGUUGUCCGGAAUUAUUGGGCGUAAAGAGCUCGUAGGCGGUGUGUCACGUCGGCCGUGAAAACCUGGGGCUUAACUCUGGGCGUGCGGUCGAUACGGGCAUCACUAGAGUUCGGCAGGGAGACUGGAAUUCCUGGUGUAGCGGUGAAAUGCGCAGAUAUCAGGAGGAACACCGGUGGCGAAGGCGGGUCUCUGGGCCGAUACUGACGCUGAGGAGCGAAAAGCAUGGGUAGCGAACA
rnacentral:rRNA from 1 species